rnacentral:rRNA from 1 species
AACCAGCACCCUCGAGUGGUCAGGAGGUUUAUUGGGCCUAAAGCAUCCGUAGCCGGUUGCAUAAGUUUUCGGUUAAAUCUAUGCGCUCAACGUAUAGGCCGCCGAAAAUACUGUGCAGCUAGGGAGUGGGAGAGGUACACGGUACUCAAUAGGAAGGGUAAAUACCUUUGUAUCUAUUGAUGACCACCUGUGGCGAAGGCGGUGUACCAGAACACGUUCGACGGUGA